rnacentral:rRNA from 1 species
CAGCAGCCGCGGUAAAACGUAGGGUGCAAGCGUUAAUCGGAAUUACUGGGCGUAAAGCGUGCGCAGGCGGUUAUAUAAGUCAGAUGUGAAAUCCCCGGGCUCAACCUGGGAACUGCAUUUGAGACUGUAUGGCUAGAGUGUGUCAGAGGGGGGUAGAAUUCCACGUGUAGCAGUGAAAUGCGUAGAUAUGUGGAGGAAUACCGAUGGCGAAGGCAGCCCCCUGGGAUAACACUGACGCUCAUGCACGAAAGCGUGGGGAGCAAACAGGAUUAGAUACCCCGGUAGUCCCUGUCUCUUAUAC